rnacentral:rRNA from 1 species
GACGUAGGGGGGCGAGCGUGUCCGGAUUUAUUGGGCGUAAAGCGCGCGUAGGCGGCCCCGUUUAAGUCGGAUGUGGAAAACCCGUGGCUCAACCACGGGCCUGCAUCCGAUAACUGGGCGGGCUCCGGAGGCAGGGCAGGGGGAGAUCGGAAUUCCCGGUGUGAAGCGGUGAAAUGGCGCAGAUAUCGGGAGGAACGACCUAUGGCGAAGGCAGCUCGCUGGGACGUUACGACGCUGGAG